UAGCUCUGUGGUAGAGCUUCCGCUUCGUAUGCGGGAAAAUCUGGGUUCGAUUCCCGG
rnacentral:tRNA from 1 species